UUGUGGUUGAACUGUGAUGUAUUACUGU
rnacentral:sRNA from 1 species